rnacentral:rRNA from 1 species
AUGCUCAAAGGAAAGGAGCUGCAGCAGUUUACUGCAAGAUACUUAGCAAAUAGAUAUUUGGAAAAAUUCAGGGCAGAUGAUAAAAUGUCUCUUCAGGACUUUGCAAGGAUAGUGCGGCUUGAUUUCAAUAUGACCACAAUAAGGAGCAAACUUUCAAGAGCAAGAAGGAUUGCACUAAAGCAAAUAAAAGGAGAUGAACUGAAGCAAUAUGACAUGCUAUGGGACUAUGCAGAAGAAAUAAGAACAACUAAUCCUGGGAGCAGCAUGUUUCUAACAGUUAAGGAUGGGAAGUUUGAGAGCCUAUACAUGUCAUUGUAUGCUGCCAAAAGAGGGUUUUUAGCUAGUUGUAGACCUGUCAUAUGCAUUGAUGGGUGUCACCUAAAGACUAGAUAUGGGGGAAUUAUGUUGACUGCUGUUGGAAAUGAUCCCAAUGAUUGUAUCUUCCCUAUUGCCAUAGGUGUAGUAGAAGUUAAGGACAAGAACACAUGGAUGUGGUUUUUGAACACAUUAAAAGAGGAACUUCUCAUACGCAACACUGCCCCAUGGACACUGAUGAGUGAUAGACAAAAUGUAUCUUAG